UAAAAUAAUGCCAGGUAGCUGGAAAGAACCACAGAAGAAGACUGACAGCCUGGACUGCUCAGGUAUGCUCUCUACAUUGCCACUGGAAGAGCAUUUGAUUUCAGUCAGGUCAGUGGUUUAAGUGGAAGAUUUGUUUGAAUAUUGUGAUUUUUUUUAUUCAUAGAAUUUAUUGUAAUUUCCCGAUUUA